AAUGAACGUUGGCGGCGUGGAUUAGGCAUGCAAGUCGAGCGAGAAAUUUUCCUUCGGGAAAAUGGAAAGCGGCAAACGGGGUAGUAAGGCGUAGGUGACGUACCCUAUGGUCUAGGAUAGCUGCGGGAAACUGCAGGUAAUACUGGAUGUUCUCUCAGAUUAUGGUAAUUUGUGAGCAAAGGUGAGAUUCCGCCAUAGGAGCGGCUUACGUGGUACUAGGUAGUUGGUAAGGUAAUGGCUUACCAAGCCUUAGAUGCCUAGGGGGUGUGAGAGCAUGGCCCCCACCACUGGGACUGAGAUACUGCCCAGACAUCUACGGAUGGCUGCAGUCGAGAAUCUUCGGCAAUGGACGAAAGUCUGACCGAGCGACGCCGCGUGCGGGAUGAAGGCCUUGGGUU
rnacentral:rRNA from 1 species